rnacentral:rRNA from 1 species
AUUGAACGCUGGCGGCAGGCUUAACACAUGCAAGUCGAGCGGAGCGAGGGUGCUUGCACCUUAGCUUAGCGGCGGACGGGUGAGUAAUGCUUAGGAAUCUGCCUAUUAGUGGGGGACAACAUUCCGAAAGGAAUGCUAAUACCGCAUACGCCCUACGGGGGAAAGCAGGGGAUCUUCGGACCUUGCGCUAAUAGAUGAGCCUAAGUCGGAUUAGCUAGUUGGUGGGGUAAAGGCCUACCAAGGCGACGAUCUGUAGCGGGUCUGAGAGGAUGUGCGGCACCACUGGGACUGAGACACGGCCCAGACUCCUACGGGAGGCAGCAGUGGGGAAUAUUGGACAAUGGGCGGAAGCCUGAUCCAGCCAUGCCGCGUGUGUGAAGAAGGCCUUUUGGUUGUAAAGCACUUUAAGCGAGGAGGAGGCUACUAGUAUUAAUACUACUGGAUAGUGGACGUUACUCGCAGAAUAAGCACCGGCUAACUCUGUGCCAGCAGCCGCCGUAAUAC